rnacentral:lncRNA from 1 species
GACAGACCAUGACGAAGAUCGAUCGACAGAUCACUCUAGACAUCGAUCGACGUCAUCUGCUGAAUCGACUGCGGAGUGUAGUGCAGUUCGAAUCAUGACUCAUGAGGAAUUUGCGAAGAAGCAUCCUCACCCAUCCUCCCCUUUCUAUGUCAAAAUCGAUCGACCGCUUGAGCCAGCAGUCGACCGACAGAGAGACCGGCAUCGAUCGACACCCCUCACCUACCGAGUGCGGUUACCAUCUUUUGAUAAUGACCGAAUUAAC